ensembl:lncRNA
AUGUUCAAAUGGUUGAAUCUCCUGCUUCUACUUCAGCUGUGCUGUGUCAGGAAAAGUGAAAGUCCUCUUGACGAAACCCCCAUAGAGGGAGAAAAGGGAGGCAACGUCACCCUGCCAUGUAAAUAUAAGGCCAGUGAGAUUUCUGAUAUUCGUUUCAUCAGAUGGGGAAAAUCCAAACACUUUGCUAAAAUCCCUUUUUGUCAGAAUGAAGAAAAAGAGAGUGAGAGUGAGAGUGACAAAGUAUGUAAAAAAGGAGCAUGUGAAGUCGUUCUGAAACAUCUGAACUCCAAUGAUUCUGGGACAUACAUGUUGAGAUUCAUGCACAAAGAUACUCAGACAGAGCUGAAGUACAAACUUGACAUUCAUGAAAUUAAAACAGGAUCUCGCUCAGAUGAUGAACUCAAGAGUGACACUGAACAUCAUAAGCACUGGAUUGGACCGGCCGGGCUGCCUGUGUUUGUUUGGAUGGUUCUAGCUCUGAUUCUCUGUUAAAUUAACAAAGAUACACCAAUGUCUGGAUGGAGUUUCCAUUAUAAUUUGCAAAUCUGCAAAAUAUUCUCUCAACAUAUUGUAUGUCUGCACUAUAUUUUGAUUUACAAUGUAUAUGAACAUUUGGACUGCACUAAAUCCUAUGUCGAGAUACUGUUUGUUGACUGUUCAUUUAAUACAAAUAAUCCUUGGCAAUAUUGGCCUAUCAAAUUGCCGUCCAGUCCUGCUCCUUAAGAGCCGUUGUCUAGUUUCUACGGUUCUACACCAUGUACAAAAUCAUGUACUGUCUGAGUAGGUUCUAAAUUUGAUGAAGAACUAACUUUUAUAACUGCUAAAAGGUAUGUUCUUUAUGUAUUUGUUAUUUUAUGUUGUUUUCUACGUGUGUGUAUUUUAGUAUUAUUAUCUUUUUUUCUUUCUUUUUUUAUCUUUUCUGGGCAAUUGUUCUGCUCUCGACUGUGAUGAUAUGAUUGAUAUGACUUUGACGCCUCUGAUGACUUUAAUCUGUGUUUUUUGUUGUUGUUCUUCUUCUUUAAAAUAAUUGCAAAAGAAAGCACUUACUGUUUCUACAACAAAGCUAAUGUUAUCCUUCACUGUCAGCAAAAAGGCAGUUAAACCACAGAAGGAUUUCUAAAAAAAAUUGUUCUAUACAGUAUAUGGUGUGAAUGUAUCUGCAUGUACAGUACUACACCUGCCAUGUUAUUACUGUUUGAUAAUCUGUUUCAUAUCUCACAUUUUUAUUUUGUAGUAGAAGUUCUGAAUGGCCAGUAUUUUUAACAUAACUUUACUCAGGGUGUAAGAGGAAAAUAUAACUCAGCCAAGUUUGUAUAAAAUCCAUGUUAGACAACUUAAUAAAUAACUUUGACUGUUUUAAAGGCUUUGAGAA